GAUGAACGCUGGCGGCGUGCUUAACACAUGCAAGUCGAACGAAGCACUCUAUUUGAUUUUCUUCGGAGAUGAAGAUUUUGUGACUGAGUGGCGGACGGGUGAGUAACGCGUGGGUAACCUGCCUCAUACAGGGGGAUAACAGUUGGAAACGACUGCUAAUACCGCAUAAGCGCACGGUACCGCAUGGUAUCGUGUGAAAAACUCCGGUGGUAUGAGAUGGACCCGCGUCUGAUUAGCUAGUUGGUGGGGUAACAGCCUACCAAGGCGACGAUCAGUAGCCGACCUGAGAGGGUGACCGGCCACAUUGGGACUGAGACACGGCCCAAACUCCUACGGGAGGCAGCAGUGGGGAAUAUUGCACAAUGGGGGAAACCCUGAUGCAGCGACGCCGCGUGAGCGAAGAAGUAUUUCGGUAUGUAAAGCUCUAUCAGCAGGGAAGAAAAAAUGACGGUACCUGACUAAGAAGCACCGGCUA
rnacentral:rRNA from 1 species